AGCUCCAAUAGCGUAUAUUAAAGUUGUUGCGGUAAAAGCUCGUAGUUGGAUUUCUGUUGAGGGCGCUCGGUCCACUCUAUGAGUGUGUAUCUGAGUUUGUCUUCGGCAUCCCGUGGGAGAACGUAGCUGCGCUUAACUGCGUGGUACGGCCUCUUCCACGCUUUUACUUUGAGGAAAUUCGAGUGUUUACGGCAGGCAUUAGCCGCUGUGAAGAUGUUAGCAUGGAAUAAUAAGAUAGGACCUUGGUCCCAUUUUGUUGGUUUCUGGAACUAAGGUAUGCACGGUUAAUAGGAACAUUUGGGGGCAUUUGUAUCGGCCAGCUAGAGGUGGAAUUCUUGGAUUUGGUCGCGACAAACUACUGCGAAAGCAUUUGUCAAGGAUGUUUUCAUUGAUCAAGAAGAAAGUUAG
rnacentral:rRNA from 1 species